rnacentral:rRNA from 1 species
UUCCGGUUGAUCCCGCCGGAGGUCACUGCUAUCGGGGUUCGAUUAAGCCAUGCGAGUCGAGAGGGUUCAGACUCUCGGCGGACUGCUCAGUAACACGUGGAUAAUCUGCCCUAUGGUGGAGGAUAACCCCGGGAAACUGGGGAUAAUACUCCAUAAGUCAGGAGUACUGGAAUGUCUCCUAACUGAAAGUUUCGGCGCCAUAGGAUGAAUCUGCGGCCGAUUAGGUAGUUGUUGGGGUAACGGCCCAACAAGCCCGUAAUCGGUACGGGUUGCGGGAGCAAGAGCCCGGAGAUGGAAUCUGAGACACGAUUCCAGGCCCUACGGGGCGCAGCAGGCGCGAAAACUUUACAAUGCAGGAAACUGUGAUAAGGGAACCCCGAGUGCCCGUACACGCGGGCUGUCCCGGUGUUUAAAACACAUCGGAAGAAAGGGCCGGGCAAGACCGGUGCCAGCCGCCGCGGUAAUACCGGCGGCUCGAGUGGUGACCACUUUUAUUGGGCUUAAAGCGUUCGUAGCUUGAUUUUUAAGUCUCUUGGGAAAUCUCACGGCUUAACUGUGAGGCGUCUAAGAGAUACUGGGAAUCUAGGGACCGGGAGAGGUAAGAGGUACUUCAGGGGUAGAAGUGAAAUUCUGUAAUCCUUGAGGGACCACCGAUGGCGAAGGCAUCUUACCAGAACGGCUUCGACAGUGAGGAACGAAAGCUGGGGGAGCGAACGGGAUUAGAUACCCCGGUAGUCCCAGCCGUAAACUAUGCGCGUUAGGUGUGCCUGUAACUACGAGUUACCGGGGUGCCGAAGUGAAAACGUGAAACGUGCCGCCUGGGAAGUACGGUCGCAAGGCUGAAACUUAAAGGAAUUGGCGGGGGAGCACCACAACGGGUGGAGCCUGCGGUUUAAUUGG